rnacentral:rRNA from 1 species
AGUGGGAGCACCCUUUGGGGUGUGACUGCGUACCUUUUGUAUAAUGGGUCAGCGACUUAUAUUCUGUAGCAAGGUUAACCGAAUAGGGGAGCCGGAGGGAAACCGAGUCUUAAUUGGGCGUUAAGUUGCAGGGUAUAGACCCGAAACCCGGUGAUCUAGCCAUGGGCAGGUUGAAGGUUGGGUAACACUAACUGGAGGACCGAACCGACUAAUGUUGAAAAAUUAGCGGAUGACCUGUGGCUGGGGGUGAAAGGCCAAUCAAACCGGGAGAUAGCUGGUUCUCCCCGAAAGCUAUUUAGGUAGCGCCUCGUGAAUUCAUCUCCGGGGGUAGAGCACUGUUUCGGCUAGGGGGCCAUCCCGGCUUACCAACCCGAUGCAAACUGCGAAUACCGGAGAAUGUUAUCACGGGAGACACACGGCGGGUGCUAACGUCCGUCGUGAAGAGGGAAACAACCCAGACCGCCAGCUAAGGUCCCAAAGUCAUGGUUAAGUGGGAAACGAUGUGGGAAGGCCCAGACAGCCAGGAUGUUGGCUUAGAAGCAGCCAUCAUUUAAAGAAAGCGUAAUAGCUCACUGGUCGAGUCGGCCUGCGCGGAAGAUGUAACGGGGCUAAACCAUGCACCGAAGCUGCGGCAGCGACACUCAGGUGUUGUUGGGUAGGGGAGCGUUCUGUAAGCCUGCGAAGGUGGCCUGUGAGGGUUGCUGGAGGUAUCAGAAGUGCGAAUGCUGACAUAAGUAACGAUAAAGCGGGUGAAAAGCCCGCUCGCCGGAAGACCAAGGGUUCCUGUCCAACGUUAAUCGGGGCAGGGUGAGUCGACCCCUAAGGCGAGGCCGAAAGGCGUAGUCGAUGGGAAACGGGUUAAUAUUCCCGUACUUGGUGUUACUGCGAAGGGGGGACGGAGAAGGCUAUGUUGGCCGGGCGACGGUUGUCCCGGUUUAAGCGUGUAGGUGUGUGUUCCAGGUAAAUCCGGUU